rnacentral:rRNA from 1 species
CCUACGGGAGGCAGCAGUGAGGAAUAUUGGUCAAUGGACGAGAGUCUGAACCAGCCAAGUAGCGUGAAGGAUGACUGCCCUAUGGGUUGUAAACUUCUUUUAUAUGGGAAUAAAAUGUUCCACGUGUGGGAUUUUGUAUGUACCAUAUGAAUAAGGAUCGGCCAACUCCGUGCCAGCAGCCGCGGUAAUACGGAGGAUCCGAGCGUUAUCCGGAUUUAUUGGGUUUAAAGGGAGCGUAGGUGGAUUGUUAAGUCAGUUGUGAAAGUUUGCGGCUCAACCGUAAAAUUGCAGUUGAAACUGGCAGUCUUGAGUACAGUAGAGGUGGGCGGAAUUCGUGGUGUAGCGGUGAAAUGCUUAGAUAUCACGAAGAACUCCGAUUGCGAAGGCAGUUCACUGGACUGCAACUGACACUGAGGCUCGAAAGUGUGGGUAUCAAACAGGAUUAGAUACCCGUGUAGUC